UUUUUUUUGCGUCCCUCAGGAGCCCCGACUGGCCCCUACUUAAAGGAAGACAACUCACAUUGGCAACUGCACGCUCACUACUACCCUCCUCUGCUGCGUUCGGCCACAGUUAAGAAGUUCAUGGUCGGCUAUGAGAUGCUUGCAAUGGAGCAGCGGGACCUCACUCCUGAACAGGCUGCAGAGAAGUUACGGAAUCUACCAGAUGAGCACUACAAAAGUAGACACGGAGAAGAAAAAUGAGUGGGAAUGUCAAAUCAAGUCAAUUUAAAAUAAAAAAA